UGUUGCGAUCAUACCAGCACUAAUGCAUUGGAUCUCAUCAUAACUCCGCAGUUAAGCGUGCUUGGGCGAGAGUAGUACUAGGAUGGGUGACCCCCUGGGAAGUCCUCGUGUUGCAACCC
rnacentral:rRNA from 1 species